UUGCUUGGUAGCAAAUAUACUGAAAUUGGCAUGAUACAGAGAAAAGUAGCAUGGCCCCUGCACAAGGAUGACACUCAAUUUUGUGAAAUGUUUCAUAUUUUU
rnacentral:snRNA from 1 species